CCUUGUUCAGAAAAUGUUGUAUAUAGUGAUUCUUUCAAUAAAAAUACAAUAAAUUUUCUGCACUACACUCUGUAAACUCUACUGAAGAAAUAAUUAAAAUUUCUAAAACGUUAUUUCGAAAGCAGCAGUACGUGGAGCCACUUAAGCUCCCCGACGGCCACUGCUCCGCCCGCUCCGCGUUCUCCCCUAGGGGCACCAUUGAAGAAAGGCGGGAAGGGGGCGGUAAAUCUGGGUAGGGAGUGCAGAGCCACCCAACCACAUCCGCAUCCGUCUGCCAUUCUGGUUGGCUCCCGGUGCCUGGCCAUUUGGCUGGAUGUAGCCAGAGAUGUGGAUGUGGUCGUGGUUUCGGCCAGGCUGCAUGUGUGCGGCCUGGCAUAUUGAUGAACCGCAACAAAUUGGCUCCACGGUGGCAAUGCCAACUGCCGGAGCCACCGCAGCAGAAGCCGAAUGUCAAGCGCCGCACAGUGGGAUCGCAGGAAAAUAUCUCAGAUAUGUAUAAAAACAUUAACAACGAAAAAAAUAUAAAUGUCCAUGAAAAUA